CCACAUUCAUGCCUCACCAUGAUCAUGAAUGUGGUUUUCCCAGGGUGAGGCUAUUGCACCCAGGAUGUGCUGACCCCCGCAAUUUCCCCAAAUGCAGGAAACUUGGCUGCAUUAUUGUGGUGGUGGGGACUGUGGUCAUACUCUCCCCUU
rnacentral:snRNA from 1 species